AGCCGCGAAAGGAGGGCCGCCGUAAAGCAGCGGUGCAUCUCAGUCGACGUGAGGCUGUCCAAGUUCUCCUCGUCCUCCCUCCUGCCAACAAAGGUUCCCAGUCACCAAUCUCGCCCCGGGAUGAAGCUCCUGCACUCCAAGUCGACCGCGGAGCCGAUUCUCGCCGUCACGGCGUGUCCGUGCGCGAACCUCUUCGGCCUCGUCACGCAGAGCGCCGUCGCUGUCUACCGCUCCACUACGCUCACCACAGUCUUCAGCUUCUCUCUGAAGCCCUUCCAGUCCGUGCUAAAGGGCAGUGGCGAUGAUGGGGAGAGGCGCAACGGCAACUCCGUCUGCUGCUGCUGGUCGCCAUCGGGACGCCUGUUCACCCUUGCACUGCCGUCGGGGCUGCUGCUCGUGCUGGAUGUAGAGGGUGGCGCCUUGGUGCGCUUCCUCACCCCUGGUGGCACGGCCCCUGCAAGCGGCGACGGCGCUGGCGGCUCCAGCUCGACCCCCGCCUUGGCGAGUGUGCCGCGAGUCCCCACAACGCUCCCGCCUGGCCGCCCUGUGCUCGCCAUGGGCUGGUGUGCGGUGCACUCACUCUCCUCCAGACACGUUAGCGCCAUGCAUGUGGACGUGCAGACACGGUGCCUGCCGGUCCGAACCGGCGUGACGGCUGCGUUGCUCGACGAAGUUGCUCAAGGAUCCCCCCUUUCUCUCCUCGGCGCGGGGGACGCUGCCCAUCUGCUCUCCUCAACUGCAGUGAUGAGCGGCGGAUACCCUGCUGAUGCGAGAAGCGGCAGCAGAUCCGUGUCGCUGCUCAUGGUUCUUGGCUGCGACGGUGCUCUUCGUUGCCUGAUCGGCGGUCUGUACGAGGUGCGACGUCUAGCACUGUCGCUGCCGCCGGGCUUCCCCGCCCGGCCUGACAGCGGGCCCAGCGGCCGCGUGGCCUCCUGGGAGGAUGUCGUCGUUGAAGACAUGCAAGUGCGUCAGUGCGCUAUGCCUAGUGCGACUUUGGGUGGUAGACAGACACGCGCACAGAGAAGAACUGGGCCACCCGACUGGGUAUGCUUUGGUGAGUCGGCCGCGAACGGCGUCCGUCCUGCCGUGGCGCAGCAGCACCGCCUGUACCUGACCGCUACGGGCGCGUCAUCGAGUGGUCCCGCAGCACAUUCGCUAUGGGAGGUGGACUUGCACGACAACCUCUCCGCCCUGGCCGCUCCACAUUGGCUUGCAUUGUGCUACGUGCGCGAGUGCACCCGCAUCACGCGCGAGAUGUACGAGAAGGUCGCUCACGAGUGGCAUGCAGUGCUGCGGGGUCGGCUCUGGGCACACCUCGGCCUCCCUGCUGUCGCCCCUCUUCUCUCCUCCGCCGUCCUGGCGCAACUCACGGAGCCGGAUCCCUUGGCACUCUACAAAUACGCGAAGCAGCAGCUCAGGCGCACCGCCGUGACGGAGGAUCUCGAGGUUAUGGCUACGGCAGUGCAGCGCGCAACUUACGAAAUCACGCACGUGUGCUACCGGUGUUGUGAGGUCGCCAUGGCGUACGCCGCACACCUCCGCGAGCCGGACACGGUUACGCAGCACAUUGGCGCGCUGCGGCGGCUUUGCGAGUCGUUUCUGCGACACGUCACGAGGGAGGCGGAGGGCGCGCGUGACUUGGCGCUGUGGGUGCUGCAGCAGUCGCGUCACUGGGGGCGCGGCUCCCGCUUCGCCAUGGGUGCGGCGGAUGAGCGAGCACUGGAGGAGGCGGAAGAGGAUCAGCAGGAGAGGUCGUCGGCGGUGUCGUCGCCGUCUACUGCAGCGGCUGACAUGGCCCGCCCACCGUCGUCGCGACAGCCACCGUCCGUGUUGGACGAAGUCCCGCUUAGUGCGACGCGCCAGCCGGCCUUAUUGAGCUACCUUUCGUCCAUUGCUACGCAAGAGACCCACCCGGAUGGCGAUCCAGUGAUUCACCUCUGCGCACAGCUCGCCAUCCGCGUGCAGGACUGCGCACCGUUGCCGGCGUCGAUCAUGGCUUCUCUUCCAGUCCGCGUUGUGUUGUCGGGUGCGCAAGAUACCGGCGCCGCCUCCGCCUCAACAGCGUCGCAGCUCCUGUGCUGUGUAGUGGAAGGGGUCGAAGAGGACGAGCAAGGACGCUGCCUCGACGAGGAUGACGACGAGGAGAAGAGCUUUACUGCUGCCUCCGGCAACGGCGGUGGCGGGGGUGGUGACGGAGACGGGGCGGCGAAAGGCUAUUACCCGCUGUACGAAACGGGUCUGGAAGACGUCGCAUUCGGUGAACGCAAUCUUGAUGUGGCACGCGACGAGUGCGGCUGCGCGCUCAUCACGGAAGGGGCCCACGUGCAUGUGUUGCGCUCCACUGCCGCGACGACCAAUACAAUCCAGGCUCUGCAGAUCGGCACAUACAAGCUGGUGGUGCGCCGCGACAGUGAUUGUGGAGACGACAACGCCGCCGACUCACCCGCAGCUUCCGGUUCUGUGCUGGAGGCAUCCCUUAAGGUAGACGUGGACGUGAAUCUCAUCACAUCUCGCCUCAAGGCGGAGCUGGCAGGCAAGCACGGCUGUGCAAUACCUUGUGUCUACAGCGCCACAUGGUACGGCUACCUUGAAGAGGAUCGGCACAUUGUGGUCUGUCAGCCAAACACCGUCACUGCUGGCCGCUCUGCCGGAUCUGAUGCCUGGUGCAGGUCGACUGCGCCGGCAACGUUCUUUGUCGCCACCGUCGACGGCGGUGGCCGCCUGUUGAUGGUUGAUGAGGAAGAGCACGACGGCGACAACGCCGAUGGAGACGAUGCGGCGGACUCUUCGGCGGCCGCAGCGUCGUCGGCGCGAGCCGCUCUGUGUGAGGUGACCGGGAUGGAGGGCGUGCCGCUGCGCGUGAGCAUGAGUCGUGCCCGCAGCUUCUGCGUCAUCGUCGGUGUCGCCAAGUACGUUGUCCUCUCCCUCUACGAUGACGACUACUGAGGAACGAGCGGGAAGGAGAGGUGCGGCAGACUCCGUUCGUGCCCCCGUCGCACUGCGCAUCCCGCUGCGGUUCCCUCGAAUCACACCGGCAGCCAUGCAAGCGCGAAAUCCCCGCACAUAGACGCGCCCCCGCGAAAGCACUACUAUUACGCGAGCUGAGGCAGGGGCCUUAUCAGGUUCAUCAUAGACUAGAUGCGCGCCACAUACUCAGCAGAAGGAAAGAGCCCAUGAGGAGGAAGGGGGCGAGGGCCUUCAAAGACACGGUCGCUCUCAUACCCUCCUUGAUACGCGCCAGGUGGACAACCAUCCGUCCUUUCUU
rnacentral:misc_RNA from 1 species